AGGCUUGGAAUCACACGGUCGUCA
rnacentral:siRNA from 1 species